rnacentral:tRNA from 1 species
CAGAGUGUAGCUUAACAUAAAGCACCCAACUACACUUAUGAGAUUUCAACUCAACUUGACCACUCUGA